rnacentral:rRNA from 1 species
CAGCCGUAAACUAUGCGCGUUAGGUGUACUGGUGACCACGAGUCACCGGGUGCCGAAGGGAAACCGUGAAACGUGCCGCCUGGGAAGUACGGUCGCAAGGCUGAAACUUAAAGGAAUUGGCGGGGGAGCACCACAACAGGUGGAGCCUGCGGUUUAAUUGGAUUCAACGCCGGACAUCUCACCGGAUAAGACAGCUGAAUGAUUGUCAAUCUGAAGGUUUUACAUGACUAGCUGAGAGGUGGUGCAUGGCGUCAGUGACU